CGUACAUCGACAUCGCCGGAGGGAGAAGUAUAAUGUCACCCCACACUUCUCGCGAAAUGGAAGGCUCUUUGUUUCCGAGCUCUCCUCUUUCAGAUACGGCGCGCAACAAUUAGACGUGCAGAUGCGAUUAAAUCUCGAGCGCACGUUGUAUUCCAAACCGAGGCAGUGUCAAAUCCGUCUAAAUUGUGAGCCGGACGGUCAGUCGCGUGUCAGCGUCGCUCAACGCGAGAGUGCGUGCUUUUUGUCUGUGCGGCGAAUAUCGCGCUGGCCGGCUCUGUUCGAGGAUGAUGCCCGUGAGUCUGCCUCGUUUCCUGUCUGCGUUUGAUCAUCGCUGCCGAUCAUCACACGAGAGACUUCACGCUCCAAUAAAAAACUAAGAAGCAAGAAGUACCGACGACGAAAACAUUACUGAACAGCUUUAGCGCGCAGCUGCUACAAAAGUAGAUUUCGCCUGCUCCAAUGGCUGUUCCAAAACACUGAAGGUCAUUCCCACCACUGUAUUACAGUGACAUUCAAACACAUAAAGUGGAGUUACAUACCAGUACACUCAAAGUAAACAAAAUGUGCGAAGAAGAAAAAUAUAUCUAAACAUGUUAGACAACAAGACUCAGAUUGGUUGUUAGUAAAUGCCGAAACUUGGAAGGGUUACGUUCGAUAUUACAGCGUGGUCAGGUUAACUAGUCGACUCCUGAAUAGCUAUCGGCAAGAAGGAGUUAUUGAAAUAUUUAGUUCAGCCGUGAAGACGUUGAAGACUGACGAAUUGAACAGACGGCGUCAAAUGCGGUUUGGUGGCACAAGA